rnacentral:rRNA from 1 species
AAUCAACGCUGGCGGCGUGCCUCAGACAUGCAAGUCGAACGAUUAAGACUUCCUUCGGGAAGUGCAUAAAGUGGCGCACGGGUGAGUAACACGUAAGUAAUCUACCCUCGAGUGGGGAAUAACAUCGGGAAACCGAUGCUAAUACCGCAUAACGCAGCGGCACCGCAAGGUGACAGUUGUUAGAGGAGUAAUUCGCUUGAGGAGGAGCUUGCGGCAGAUUAGCUAGUUGGUAAGGUAACGGCUUACCAAGGCUACGAUCUGUAUCCGGUCUAAGAGGACGGUCGGACACACUGACACUGAAUAACGGGUCAGACUCCUACGGGAGGCAGCAGUCGGGAAUUUUGGGCAAUGGGCGAAAGCCUGACCCAGCAACGCCGCGUGAAGGAUGAAGUAUUUCGGUAUGUAAACUUCGAAAGAAUGGGAAGAAUAAAUGACGGUACCAUUUAUAAGCUCCGGCUAACUACGUGCCAGCAGCCGCCGUAAAAC